CCUUUUCCUUGUGUAUAAAAAAAAAGAAAAAAAGAAAUGCCUCUCAAUCUCUUUCUGUAUCUGCCAAAUGUCAAGAAUGUGACUCUAUUAUGGGAGUUUGAGGAAUAACACGGCCCUGUGCACCGGUCAUCAGUCGGAUUGAUAUCAUGUUGCAUACAGCUAUGGUAGAAAAAGGGGAACAAAAGCUCAUGGAGUUUGAAGACGAAACUUAUAAUUGGUUGUACCUGCGGAGCAAUUGCAGCACUUCUACUAU